GCCGCCACGUGGAGCGUGGGCGCGAUUCUCAGAAGCGCCUGCGCCGUCGCCGCGGCGUAGCUCGGGUCGGACCCGUCGCCUAACGUCAACGGCGCUGGCGCCGCGGCCGGGGUUCACUGUAACGCGGCUGACGCAACGCCGGAGAGCGGGGACGUAGACGGAAGAAAAGGCGGAGGCCAGGGCACCCGGCGCGGAGAGUGGGCCGGGACUGGGGUCGGCUGCUAGCAGGUGUUUGGAUCUGUGACCUCGUCUUGCCAUGCUGAGAUACUUACACCGCUCUGGGUUCCAGCCCUUCAGCCAGCGUCUGCUGCCUUGGGUCCAGUCUGUAGCUGUGCCCAGAUUGCGGUUUUCAGAGAAAAACAGAAGAAAGCGAAAGGCCAGAGAGAGAGACGAUAUCAAGAUCCUUCUUGAAGCCUGCUGCGGUCUCAUUAAUCACUGAACUUCUCGGACUCAGAGGAGGGUGCAAAGUUGUGACAAAGGGCAUUGUAUCCUUUGGUGUAUAACCCAUGGCACGCUUUGAACAUGACCGGCCCUCUCACACACCCACCCUACCACACGAGCGUGCACAUAUAACUUCCUCUAGAGACACAGAUUUUCUUUGGUGCCCAGGAGGUAAAGAUUUCUUAGAAAUUGAGGAAGAACUACCCGGAUGCUUUUGGUUUUCCUAUUAAUCAAAAUCUUUUUAGUCCAUGUGUUGGCCUGCUUUUUGUCACUGUGGCAGAAUACUUGGGAAAAAUCAGCUUGUAAUGAGGAAAGAAUUAUUUGAGUUCAUGGUUUCCGA